rnacentral:rRNA from 1 species
UCAAACCUGAGAGUUUGAUCCUGGCUCAGAACGAACGCUGGCGGCAGGCUUAACACAUGCAAGUCGAACGCCCCGCAAG